AACGAACGCUGGCGGCAUGCCUAACACAUGCAAGUCGAACGAGACCUUCGGGUCUAGUGGCGCACGGGUGCGUAACGCGUGGGAACCUGCCCUUAGGUUCGGAAUAACUCCCCGAAAGGGGUGCUAAUACCGGCUAAUGUCUUCGGACCAAAGAUUUAUCGCCUUUGGAUGGGCCCGCGUUGGAUUAGCUAGUUGGUAGGGUAAAAGCCUACCAAGGCGACGAUCCAUAGCUGGUCUGAGAGGCUGAUCAGCCACACUGGGACUGAGACACGGCCCAGACUCCUACGGGAGGCAGCAGUGGGGAAUAUUGGACAAUGGGCGAAAGCCUGAUCCAGCAAUGCCGCGUGAGUGAUGAAGGCCUUAGGGUUGUAAAGCUCUUUUACCCGGGAUGAUAAUGACAGUACCGGGAGAAUAAGCUCCGGCUAACUCCGUG
rnacentral:rRNA from 1 species